rnacentral:pre_miRNA from 1 species
ACACAAAUUAUUUAGUAUCUUGUUAAAAUGCAGAUUCUGAUUCAGUAGGCCUUGGAUGGGGGCCUGAGUUUUUUCAUUUCUAAUAAGUUCUCAAGUCCUUGCUGC